rnacentral:rRNA from 1 species
CUACGGGAGGCUGCAGUGAGGAAUAUUGCACAAUGGGGGGAACCCUGAUGCAGCAACGCCGCGUGGAGGAUGACGCAUUUCGGUGUGUAAACUCCUUUUAUAUGUCAAGAAAAUGACGGUAGCAUAUGAAUAAGCACCGGCUAACUCCGUGCCAGCGGCCGCGGUAAUACGGAGGGUGCAAGCGUUACUCGGAAUCACUGGGCGUAAAGGACGCGUAGGCGGGUUGGAAAGUCAGGUGUGAAAUCCUACAGCUUAACUGUAGAACUGCACUUGAAACUUCUAAUCUAGAGUAUGGGAGGGGGAGAUGGAAUUAGUGGUGUAGGGGUAAAAUCCGUAGAUAUCACUAGGUAUACCUAAAGCGAAGGCGAUCUCCUGGAACAUUACUGACGCUAAGGCGUGAAAGCGUGGGGAGCAAACAGGAUUAGAUACCCGCGUAGUC